rfam:Drosophila sechellia strain Rob3c scaffold_1976 genomic scaffold, whole genome shotgun sequence.
AUCUAUUAGCAUAUCCCAAAUUUAUCAUAAAAUAUAACUUAUAGUUUAUUCCAAUUAAAUUGCUUGCAUUUUAACACAGAAUAAAUGUUAUUAAUUUGAUAAAGUGCUGAUAGAUUUAUAUUAUUACAGAGCGUUAAUUUUUCGGAAUUAUAUAAUGGCAUAAUUAUCAUUGAUUUUUGUGUUUAUUAUAUGCUCUUGUAUGAUUAACAAUGCGAAAGAUUCAGGAUACCUUCGGGACCCGUCUUGAAACACGGACCAAGGAGUCUAACAUAUGUGCAAGUUAUUGGGAUGUAAACCUAAUAGCGUAAUUAACUUGACUAAUAAUGGGAUUAGUUUUUUAGCUAUUUAUAGCUAAUUAACACAAUCCCGGGGCGUUCUAUAUAGUUAUGUAUAAUGUAUAUUUAUAUUAUUUAUGCCUCUAACUGGAACGUACCUUGAGCAUAUAUGCUGUGACCCGAAAGAUGGUGAACUAUACUUGAUCAGGUUGAAGUCAGGGGAAACCCUGAUGGAAGACCGAAACAGUUCUGACGUGAAAAUCGAUUGUCAGAAUUGAGUAUAGGGGCGAAAGACCAAUCGAACCAUCUAGUAGCUGGUUCCUUCCGAAGUUUCCCUCAGGAUAGCUGGUGCAUUUUAAUAUUAUAUAAAAUAAUCUUAUCUGGUAAAGCGAAUGAUUAGAGGCCUUAGGGUCGAAACGAUCUUAACCUAUUCUCAAACUUUAAAUGGGUAAGAACCUUAACUUUCUUGAUAUGAAGUUCAAGGUUAUGAUAUAAUGUGCCCAGUGGGCCACUUUUGGUAAGCAGAACUGGCGCUGUGGGAUGAACCAAACGUAAUGUUACGGUGCCCAAAUUAACAACUCAUGCAGAUACCAUGAAAGGCGUUGGUUGCUUAAAACAGCAGGACGGUGAUCAUGGAAGUCGAAAUCCGCUAAGGAGUGUGUAACAACUCACCUGCCGAAGCAACUAGCCCUUAAAAUGGAUGGCGCUUAAGUUGUAUACCUAUACAUUACCGCUAAAGUAGAUGAUUUAUAUUACUUGUGAUAUAAAUUUUGAAACUUUAGUGAGUAGGAAGGUACAAUGGUAUGCGUAGAAGUGUUUGGCGUAAGCCUGCAUGGAGCUGCCAUUGGUACAGAUCUUGGUGGUAGUAGCAAAUAAUCGAAUGAGACCUUGGAGGACUGAAGUGGAGAAGGGUUUCGUGUGAACAGUGGUUGAUCACGAGUUAGUCGGUCCUAAGUUCAAGGCGAAAGCCGAAAAUUUUCAAGUAAAACAAAAAUGCCUAACUAUAUAAACAAAGCGAAUAUAAUACACUUGAAUAAUUUGAACGAAAGGGAAUACGGUUCCAAUUCCGUAACCUGUUGAGUAUCCGUUUGUUAUUAAAUAUGGGCCUCGUGCUCAUCCUGGCAACAGGAACGACCAUAAAGAAGCCGUCGAGAGAUAUCGGAAGAGUUUUCUUUUCUGUUUUAUAGCCGUACUACCAUGGAAGUCUUUCGCAGAGAGAUAUGGUAGAUGGGCUAGAAGAGCAUGACAUAUACUGUUGUGUCGAUAUUUUCUCCUCGGACCUUGAAAAUUUAUGGUGGGGACACGCAAACUUCUCAACAGGCCGUACCAAUAUCCGCAGCUGGUCUCCAAGGUGAAGAGUCUCUAGUCGAUAGAAUAAUGUAGGUAAGGGAAGUCGGCAAAUUAGAUCCGUAACUUCGGGAUAAGGAUUGGCUCUGAAGAUUGAGAUAGUCGGGCUUGAUUGGGAAACAAUAACAUGGUUUAUGUGCUCGUUCUGGGUAAAUAGAGUUUCUAGCAUUUAUGUUAGUUACUUGUUCCCCGGAUAGUUUAGUUACGUAGCCAAUUGUGGAACUUUCUUGCUAAAAUUUUUAAGAAUACUAUUUGGGUUAAACCAAUUAGUUCUUAUCAAUUAUAACGAUUAUCAAUUAACAAUCAAUUCAGAACUGGCACGGACUUGGGGAAUCCGACUGUCUAAUUAAAACAAAGCAUUGUGAUGGCCCUAGCGGGUGUUGACACAAUGUGAUUUCUGCCCAGUGCUCUGAAUGUCAAAGUGAAGAAAUUCAAGUAAGCGCGGGUCAACGGCGGGAGUAACUAUGACUCUCUUAAGGAUCAGGGGUAAUUGCGAGCAGAGGGGGAGUAUUUUUCUGUAAUUCGUAAGUCAUAUCAUAUGGUGUGCGGAAGGGGAAUUUUACUCUGUAACUCACAAGUCUCUCCUUUACUCAAGUCGACUCAAAACCUCCUCGUGGUGGUCCCCGGU